GGCCUCAUGGCUCAGUUGGCAGAGCAUUGGACUAGUAUCCCAAAGGUCGCGGGUUCGAUUCCCACCGUGGCCA
rnacentral:tRNA from 1 species